rnacentral:lncRNA from 1 species
AAUAAGAAUGAGUUUUGGUCUAGUGGUUAAGAAGUAAUGUAGUUAUCCUUAAGGUUCGAGUUUGAUUCUCCCUUUUUAUAUGAUUUUUGGUUACUGUAUUUUUUCCCAAAACCCUAGUCUGUCGCCUAUUGUAUAGAAAACCCUAGUGUAUAAUUUUCAACCUCUUUUGAUAAUUUUUUCACUCCUAUUGCCGCUUCUCUCAUUUUUGCUCUUUUCUUCUUCCCAUCCUUUCUGUGCAACCCCUAAAACUCGAAAAAUCUACUAUUGUGCUGCCCUAUUAAUCAUCAACUCCCUUUUUUUUUUCUAUUUUAUUUUUUGUCCAUCUCAUCUUCUACCCCUAUAGUCAAAUUUUUGCUGCUGAUUUUUCUAUUAUUGCUACCGGCCCCUUUGAUUCUCUUCUUCUGCUCUCUUUUUUUUUCUAUCAUCUCAAAACUAAUCAAGUAGCGUAAGUGUAAGAUUUUUAUUUUAUUUUCUUUCAAAUCAAUAUCGUUCUAUUCUUAUUUAGUUAUAGAAUGGUAGAAUAGAACUUCUACCGUGGUCGAUUCUUAUAAGUUCUUUUAUUUUUGUGUUUUGGUUGAUUCAAGAUCCAUAUCCAAACUAUUUAGAUCAACAAUAACUUUGGUAAAUUGUUUGCAACUCCUUCGUAAGUCAAAUAAAGUAAGUAUUAAUUUUCAACUUCAGAUAUAAAGAUUUUGGUUAAUAUCACUGCUUUGAUCGAACCUAUAUGGGUGUUAAAGCUGCUGAUUUUUAAUGAUUGAUCUCUUUUAGGUAUUGGCCUAGGUUGGAUCUAGUUAGAUCUAAAGCAUAGGAAUUGCAGAGAAGCGAUAGUGUUUGGGUUAGUGUAAUCAGGUGUGGGUCUUACCUUUGGGUAUUGUGUGAUUACUGUAAAUUGUAUAAUACACAUGUUGUUAGUUUUACAUGUUGAUUUGUGCUUGGCCGAAUGACUUUGAGUUGGAGUAGGGAUUGCAGAUUGUAGUAAGCGCUAAAAGUUGAUGGCCGAAUGUGUAAGGGCAUUUAUUUGUGAUUAAUUGAAUUUGUAAGUGCCAGUUGUAAUUACUGAGUUUCUACUAUGACUGAGUAUGUAUAGACUGCUAAUGUAUGAUAUGAUAUUGUUAUCACAUGUUUGUCGAAUGUAUGAGAACAUGCCUACUGUUCUGUAUUUACUGAUUGCAUGUGAAAAUCGUUACUGCUACUGAAUUACUGAUAGCAUGUUAAUACAUGCCACUAUUUUGUACUGUACCUAAUUCUACCAUGCAUGUAAUGCCAUUCUAUUGUAUAGGGUUGGGAAGAUUGGUGACAGAGGAGUUCUGGCGGUAUAGCCGCAACACUGGAGUAUUGUUUAGAUUUCUAGAGGUUUGCCCGUAAAAUUUUUACUGGUGACUUAUCGCAAUUUACUAGUAGCUUGUCUGCAACUUACUAGCAGCUUGUCUACAAACUAUUAGCAGUUGUACUGCAUACUAUUACUAGCGGUUUAUCUGCAACUUACUGGCAACUUGUCUACAACCCAUUGAUAGUUUUACAGCAUACUGUUACUGGUAGUUUAUCAACAACGAGCUUCGGCUCUUAUUGUUUUGAUGUUCAGAUGAAGGGUUUUGGAGAACUCGUAGUGUGUAGCGGAUGAAUGGGUAGGACCUUUGUACUGUUUUACAUUCGACAUGUACAUGUGUAUGACUGACAUGAUUUAUUAUGGAUAUUGAUAUUGUUGGUUAUGUGCUCUACUCUGAUUGUUUGAUUGUUUGCA